ACAAGUUGACACACAUUAGUUUUACUUUCAUUUCACUAGAAGCACUCUCAAAUCGCGGACUAUUUUAAUAAGGUAACUUUUGGAUUUGUUGUGACUUACGCUCUGUUUCUCUCGAAGCCCAUCUCCAGAAGACUCUCUAGUGUUGUUAGCUCUGCCAUUUUGACCUGAAACACAUGGUACACCAACAAGUGAUUCAACUUUUGACAUGCUUUUUACAGCACUGUUAACAGGAGGUAACAUGAGAAUGAAUGACUGAUAUUGGCGAAAUUUGCUGUAUUUAUCUGUCACAGAAUGGACCACCCUCCUCAAAACUCUAGUACCUGUUAUGCCCGUCUGUAAGAAAUAAUAGACGUUUUCAAGUGAUUUUCUGGAGCAAAAAAGGUAACAUGUGUAUAUGUCUCUAAAAAUACACUAGCUCCUGAUUCCUUGUCAGUAUAACUACGAGCUGCCUCGUUCUAUUUGUAUCAAACAAGUAUUGUAUGCAAUUUAACACAACUUCUUAAACUACAUUUUUCACAGGAGAGACCAACUCCUCUGGGUUUUGUAUUAAUUUGUUUCAUUAUAAACACACUAUUGUAGUGUGUGUGCUAAGAUUCACUGUAUAUCACGCUCACAGUUGAACAACCUGCUUCAAAAAUUAUUGCUCGGUGGUCAAAGUCAAAUGAGACAAUAGGGGUGAAGGUCUCUUCAAUCUAUACUUCAAUUGCUUUAUGGCUUUGUUUUUUUUACAGAAUGAGAGGGUCAAUGGUCAAAGCUCAAGUUAGAUAAGUUAAGAGAUGUUCUGUGAAACUAAGAAGAGGAGGUGUACUCAAGGAAAUGAUGCAUGUUCAAAGCCAUAUCAAUGCAUCCAUGUAAAAGAUUAAUUUUAAUAGACCAAAGGCUACAAUUCAUUUGCUUGGAUGGCACUCCUUUCUGACCCCCAGUGUUCUUUCAUUGAGUGCAUGACCCUGAUUUUAUUGGUAUCAUAAUAGUAAACAGUUUCUCAGAAGCCGUAAAAAGAUCAGGAGAUAUAAGUGGAUGACAUUUUACUGUCCUUUUGUGAGAUGCUGCUGGUAUUAUCACAUGACGGCACCGUUAGGAGUUCUUAAGGACAGUGGUUUUAUUUCAUGCAGUUGAUGGAGCCAACCAAAAGAGGGCAGCAUUAUUUCAAGUGUGAAAGUGUGUUUCAAUGGUUUCAUUCCAUUCAAUGUGCUUAACAUGUAGUUAUGUAACUCUUAUCUUUGAACGAUUGUUGGUUUGAGAAUUAUGUAUCAAUAAACCUGUGAUUGUGGUCUCUAAUUUAAUUGAAGUAUCCUCAAAAUAUAUGUCUGCCUGAAUGGUAGGUAUCAGCAGAGGACUAUUCAACUUGUAAAGUGGUGGAAUGAAUCCCACUACCAACAAGUUUUCAUGAUCUGCAUGGGUUGUCAGCUGUGCUCGUUCUGUGGGUCUCACCAGCUGUAACAGCAUCUCCAUAUGGAAAAAUUCUGGCUUCCAGUGGAGCUGCUGUUAUCUGUGGAGGGACACCUCUUGUCAACAAAAGGCUGCUGGGACACUGCUGCUGUAACUUACAGCUCACACUUGAUGUUCACAGUUCACACUUAUCUCUAUGAAAAGGCUGUGGGCAGUAACAACUUCUACUUCCUGUCAUCUUGUGCUAUUGUUACGCAUAUUCUUGUGCAGUUUGGCUUUGUAAUAAAAUUAGAAUGAUCCCUAAA